CCUACGGGAGGCAGCAGUGAGGAAUAUUGGUCAAUGGACGAGAGUCUGAACCAGCCAAGUAGCGUGAAGGAUGACUGCCCUAUGGGUUGUAAACUUCUUUUAUCUGGGAAUAAAAUGUUCCACGUGUGGGCUUUUGUAUGUACCAUAUGACUAAGGAUCGGCUAACUCCGUGCCAGUAGCCGCGGUCAUACGGGGGAUCCGAGCGUUAUCCGGAGUUAUUGGGUUUAAAGGGAGCGUAGGUGGAUUGUUAAGUCAGUUGUGAAAGUUUGCGGCUCAACCGCAAAAUUGCAGUUGAGACUGGCAGUCGUGAGUACAGUAGAGGUGGGCGGAAUUCGUGGUGUAGCGGUGAAAUGCUUAGAUAUCACGAAGAACUCCGAUUGCGAAGGCAGCUCACUGGACUGCAACUGACACUGAGGCUCGAAAGUGUGGGUAUCAAACAGGAUUAGAUACCCUAGUAGUC
rnacentral:rRNA from 1 species